rnacentral:rRNA from 1 species
UACGUAGGGGCUAGCGUUAUCCGGAAUUACUGGGCGUAAAGGGUGCGUAGGUGGUUUCUUAAGUCAGAGGUGAAAGGCUACGGCUCAACCGUAGUAAGCCUUUGAAACUGGGAAACUUGAGUGCAGGAGAGGAGAGUGGAAUUCCUAGUGUAGCGGUGAAAUGCGUAGAUAUUAGGAGGAACACCAGUGGCGAAGGCGGCUUUCUGGACUGAAACUUACACUGAGGAACGAAAGCGUGGGGAGCAAACAGGAUUAGAUACCCUGGUAGUCCCUGAGCGGGCUGG